GCCUUCGUGGAGUAGUGGUCAGCACACUGGACGUAUAUUUCAAAAGUUCCGUGGUUCGAGUCCCGGCGAGGGCA
rnacentral:tRNA from 1 species